rnacentral:rRNA from 1 species
AAAGAGACUGCCCGGUGGUCAAAACCCGGGAGGGAAGGUGGGGAUGACGUCAAGUCCUCAUGGCCUUUAUGACCAGGGCUACACACGUACUACAAUGGCAGGUACAAAGGGCAGCCACUUAGCGAUAAGGCGCGAAUCCCAUAAAACCUGUCCCAGUCCGGAUUGGAGUCUGCAACUCGACUCCAUGAAGUUGGAAUCGCUAGUAAUCGCAGAUCAGCACGCUGCGGUGAAUACGUUCCCGGGCCUU